UGUCAAGCUCAAAUAUAGAUGAGAAGGAAAAUAUUUGUCUUUAUUCGGAAAUAAAUUACUACUUAGUUAAUUAUUUGAAAUUAUUAGUUGAAAAUUACUGGACAUAAAAAUAUUAGUAAAAAAGGAUAUAGACAAUUUCCUAAUGUGGCUUUCUAUAUGUUUUCCACGUGUCAUCGUAUCUAUUCUAUUUACUAUAAUGAUAGGUGGAUUAAUGAGAUAUUUGAGAAAUUCACGGAUAUUACGUUGUGAAAGAAUUGACUGGUGCGGAUAUUACGCGUGAGAAGGAAAAUAUUUGAGAAAUGCGUAGAUAGAAAAUAGGAUAUAAAUGCGAGGGUAAUAUUGUCACAAAAAUUAACAGAUAUUUUUAUUUUCACGGAUAUUACGUUGUGAAAGAAUUGACUGGUGUGGAUAUUACGCGUGAGAAGGAAAAUAUUUGAGAAACGCGUAGAUAGAAAAUAGGAUAUAAAUGCGAGGGUAAUAUUGUAAGAGAAAAAAUUUAAAACUAACGCUUUUAUAAAAAAUUAAUAUCUUUUACUAUAUUAUUAAAAAUUACAUAUAAUGAAGGAAAUUUUAUUUCAAAGUCAUUGAGAUAUUUGAGAAAUUUAUGGAUAUUAUGUUGCGAAAGAAUUGGCGGUGCGGAUAUUACGCGUGAGAAGGAAAAUAUUUAUCUUUAUUUGGGAAUAAAUUAUUACUUAGUUAAUUAUUUGAAAUGAUUGGUUGAAAAUUUCUGGAUAUAAAAAUAUUAGUAAAAAAGGAUAGAGGCAUUUUUGGAAAGAGGAAAAAAUUUAAAACUCACAUCACUCCUGUAAUUUUCUUCGCUUUUAAAUAUUGAUGCUUUUAAAUAGAACAUAUUAUUUCUUUACUGUCACUUCUGUAAUUUUCAUUUCGUAAUUUUUUUCCCUACUGUCACUCCUGUAACUUUUCAUCUUCAAUGCACCAAGGUUUUUUUUCUUUAUAUUUUCUUGAAAACCAACAUCUAUAUAUUUUUGAAUCUUAAAAGUGACAGUAGAAACAUAAUAUAUAUGUGCUUACUCUAAUUUGUGUCAAAUAUGAAAGUUUAGUUGAUCUCAUUAUAUGCUUAAAUAUUAAUGUCAUUUGUAAUUUUUCAUAUCAAUUUUAGUUAUCAUUUUAUUUCGCACAUCAAUAUGUAAAUGUAAAUUGUUGUGCACACCAGUUCAUAGAUAAUAGAGCAGGAUUGAAUUUUGCAUUUUAGUUGAAUAUUUACUUUGGUCUAAAUUUUUUUUUCUCUAGCUUGUGUACUUUAAUAUGUACUAUAUAAUUAAGAUUGAUAGCUCUGUAAAAAAUACAUUACAACGCUAGAAGGUUUCUUAAAACUCUACCUUAGAACAACUUACAUCACAACGCUAGAAGGUUUCCCUUCCGGGACUUCCCGGGGGGAAAGAAAAGACUUGUUUGUACAGACUCCUUAUUCCAGGAUGCAGUUGAUGGAAAAAAUAUUUACAGGAAAAGCAUGAAAAUAAUAGCCAUUGGAAAUAUUUGUGGAGCUAGGGUGCUAUUUCUAAUAGGAUGGAUGCUUCAUUCUUCACUUGUCGUCGAAAAGAUCUUCCUUUAAGCUUCAGUGCUUCUUCAUAUGAGGCAGUGGUUAAUCGGAUUUUUUCUCUUGUGGUGCUUUGCUCUGAAUGUAUCGAUGCUCUGAGGGAAGAAGGGAGGCCUCUUUUUAUAGGCAAAAGAGGAGGCGGUUUUGGUGGAGGAAAACCGCGGCGGCACCCGGAAUUCUUUAAAACUGCGGCUGCCCAGGUAUUGGAAUGUGACGUCAUGAUGAUGCGGGGGCCCAUAGGUUUCUCAAAAAAAACCAGGGGCGGAGAAGGUUUUGCUGUGGAUGGAAUCAUUGGCGAGGCCCUUUUGGAGUUCUAUGGUCUUGGUGCAUGAACGUCGUCCACGUGUUGUUCCAUUAGUUGUCCAUUGGUGGCCACGUGUUCCAUUGGUGGCCACGUGUUGAUCCGUCAUUUGCUCGUUGGAGGCCAAAAAUUGUAGUGCUCAGAAUUUUGAAAAAGUCGGAUUUUCUGAAAUGGUGGUGUUUGUUUGGGAACAGACCUUUGAACCUUGUUUUUGGUGGUGGAGUUGGAUCACAAGGUGAUUGGUGGAAAAUUAAAGUCCUAAACUAAAAGCCCUUAUUUUUGCCUGUGAAAGAAUCACAGCGGGUUAACUAUUUUUUCUUUUUUCUUUUUCUGAUUUUUUCUUUCUUUUCUUGAAUUUUUUCUUUUUUUUUUCUCUUUUUUCAUUUUCGAAUUUUUUCUUUGGUUUUUUCAUUUCCAGAUUCUUUCUUCUUCUUUUGAUAUUUCCACUUUUCUCUGGAAAAUUUUUGUUUUUUCCUUUUUGUUUUUGCUUUUUUCUAGAUUUUCAUUUUUUUUUUUUUAGCAGUGUCCUACUAAGUGGACUAUACGGAAAAACAGAUGCGUAGCUGAAAAACAGAUGCGGAACUGAAAUAAAUAUGUACAAAUAUGUAUAGAAUAUCCGAACCAGAUCCGAACCAGAUGUUAAGCAUUUUCCCCUAAUUUGCUGAUUUUGGGAGAAGAUGCUUCUAGUAUCAUGGGAUCUUCUUGUCUCUCUUUUGUGUUACCUAUACUAGGGUUUGGUAUUGGUUCUGAAGAAGGUUCAAGUUUUGGUAAUGGUUUGGCAAUUGGCUGUGGAUGUUUCUUAGGUGAAAAUUUUUGUAGUGGAAAAGAUGCGGAUGAUAUAGGAAUGGGUUUUACUGAGGUGGAUGGAUGGACUACUGGGAUUAGUGAGUUUUGAAAAGGCGUAUUUAUAUUGGUAAUAGGAGGAAAGACCAAACUUGGUGUUAUUGUCAUUAUAGGAGGAUACUUUGGAAGAGGAGAAGAGGGGGAUUGAGAUAGAGAUACACUACCUUGUUAUGGAGGAUUCUUGAGAUCUCUGAACUACUGUUCUAAAAUAGCAAUCCUUUGGAGAUUGUUCUGAUCCUUUGUUCUUAGUUCAUCACAAAUAAUAUUUAGCUUUUGAAGCUGUGUGGCCAUUGUUGAGCAGUUGUCACAGAAACUAUUUUUCUCAAGUUUGUGGGUGGAUGGAGAGGUUUGAUUUUGUGGAGAAGAACGAAUAGUGGGAGAAAUAAAAAAAUUUGGACCAAAGUGGGUACGAGCAAUGUCUAAGGCUUCAGAGAUAGAAUGAAAACCUUUGUAGAGAGUUUGUGGAAAAGUAAUAUGUGGAAAGAUAAAAACACAUAGUUUGAAAACCUUGAAAUAUCAUAUAAACGGAAAACUUUGGCUGAAGAUAUCCUGCUAUAAUAGAUUGUCAAAACAUUUUGUCCAUCAAGUUGUAACAUAAAAUUCUAGUAAGCUUAUAUUGGUAAUCUAAAUUGUAAUCUUGAAGAUUUAGUUUGUCCCAAAUAUAUUGCUGGCAAAUAUCUUCCCAGUCAUCGUUGUCUGUAAUACCUUCAGGUGGAUAACCAAAUAAUAUUCUGAUGUCUCUAAUAAUUUUGUUUUGGUCUUGCAAAUCAUAAUAUUGAAGGUUAAGUCCAUCUCGAAAAUAUUGUUGGUAAUAAAUUUUCCAUUCGUAUUCAGGGUAGUGACAUACGCCUGAAAACCAGAUCUGCAAAUCGCUUUUGUCUUGAAUUCUGUCUAACCAUAACAGUCUAUUUUGUGAAUUUUCGAGCCUUUUGUAAAGACUUUGUCUAUUGUAUUCGUCACAUGCUGCUCGUAAGGCGUCUUCACCUAAAUGCUUAAAUCCAGAAAGGAUAAUGUGGAAAGGAAUAACUGCAAAUGGGUCUUCAAAUAACCUAUGUAUGUCUUGGAUUAUAUCAUCAAGAGGUUCUUCAGAUGAUUUAAGAGAAGCGUGUAAUAUGUCGUCGAUAAAUGGGCAAUAUCGAGGAUCCAUGUCUUUGUUUGAGCCUGAAAUGUCUGGAUCAAUAUACAUUAUGUUAAUAUACAUAUUUACAGUCUAACACAUGUUUACAGUCUAGUAGAGAGAAUUCUUUUAAAUGGAGUAUCAUCUUUCACCUUUUAUAAACAGUUCUGGCUGGGACAAUUACAACCUAAACAUUUAUAGAAUUCGUAUAAAAACAGAAGUCUAGUUAAUGGGUUUCCAGAUCAACUUUUCUGUAACAUCACAGACCAACCUUUUCCCCUAACAACUUUUAUCCUCGCCUUACUUCUGUUAGGAUUUCUAGAAGACAUCAUAUACAAUAUAUUAGAUAUAUUAAUAAUAUAUUGGGAAACUUUUGACCCAUAUCUUAUUACUUGGCCUUUUCGUUAUAUUGGCCCAAAGAAACAUUAAUCAUCAAAUUGUUAUUUCUUACAUUUCAAACUGGAUAAAGACAUACAAAUAUAUCUACUUAUAGACUCUACCUUUAGAUUUCUUUUAGCAAGUUUAUAUUGUAUUGUUGACUCCAUUUUAGACUUUCUCUUUACCCCUUAUUAUAUUAAAACUUUUAUUUUGGUUUCCUUAACCUUAGGAAUACCACUCCAUCUUAUAAUUAACUUUUUACAACUUAUAUAUCAGCUUUGGGAAAUAGACCCUUUUCUUGUAUUUCAUAUUGUUCGGAGAUAAUUAAUACACUGGCUAAUCCAAACGAAGACGAAAUUUUACCUGAUUACGAAGAUUACGAAGCAGAUAACAACGGCGACGAAAAUCUAAGACAGUUCGAAGACAAUAACAAUAGUGACGAAAUUCUAAGAGAUCAAGAACAAGAAGACCUUAGUAGUUCAGACUAUAGUGAAAAUACCACAAGCCCAAGACAAUUCAACUGGCGAUACAAUAUCGUCCAUAUUGGACGAAGAAGAUUUUUGGAAAUAACAGUUGAAGACGCUUUUGACGUAGACGCCUUUAAUUGGGAUCCAAUAAACAAUCCUAUUUACGCUAAUCAUCCUAUUGGAACUUUAGUACAUUUUCGUGUUUUGAAAACAUUCUACAUUGAACCUCAUAGGUAUCUAGAUCUAUUUUUCUGUAUCAUACUUGCCUUAGAUAAAGAACUUAUACACUACCCUCAUCUUUUUGAUAUUCUUUCCAGACGACCUCCUCCUCCUCCAUGAAGAUUUUAAUGCUAGUCCCAUCUUUGUGUCUUUUAAGCAUUCUAAUUGUCCUUUUCAGUAUCCAACAGAUUUUAGUAGUUAUAGAAAAAAAUAGUAAUUCCCACUCAGAACUUCUUAAUAAACUAAUAAGACUCUUAGACUCCUCUCCAAACUCUACUUGUUCUUUAUAAGUUUAUAAACACGGCUAGAAUUAAAAGAAAAUCAAAAAGACAAAGAGCCCUUUUAUUAUUUGCAUUUUUAACAUUAUAUGAUAAGACUUUAUCAAAUCUAAACCUUCCUUAUCCUUUUAUUAUUUACCAUCUCACAGGAAAAUUCCAUACCUUUACAUUUGGUUUUCAUAAAAAUAUUUCAAAAUAGAUCCACUAAGGACUCUUCAACAACUUGUACUUAGACUUGAUCAGACAAUUAGGACACAAACAGAAUUACUUUAGUAGAACAAAGACUUUCCAAUAUCGACUUCAGACUAAAUCAACUAGAGGCAAGACCUCAAAGGAUAGAACAAAAACUACUAAAAAUUGAACAAGAUUUACAUUCAAGUCUUCAAAGGUUAGCUGAAAUUAAACAAAUUUCUCUUGGAUGACUAAUCCCGAGCACCUUGAAGCUGAAAUCUUACAUAAAACUUUAUCAAAAGUACAACCUUAUAGUCCUGACAAAACUUCUAUAGGAUUUUCAUCCCAUCUCCCACAAGCCUUAUCUGAACAAGUUAUAAUUAAACAGAACAAUACUAUUAUACAACUUUUAUUAGGAUUACACAGUAGAAUACAUACAUUAGAAAAUUUGGUGAUACAACAAAAGCAAGCUGAAAGCAUUACUCCUACCAUAGAUACAACCCCUAUUAUACAAGAAGUAACAAAGCAUUUUUCUUCACUCCAAUUUCAAGAGCAUUCAAAAGAUACCCUUCCAAAGAAAGUUAUCCAGCCAUGGAACUUUCAUAGAAAAAUCCCACGCUAUUUAACUUCACCAGAACCUAGAUCUCCUAACACUCCUAGUACAUAAAAAAAUCAGACUUCCAGUUCUACUAAUAAAUCUCUUUGACCUUAAACUUUUCAAAAAUACAAGACCUUAUAAAAAUGGUUUGCAAGACUUAUGAUGACGAACUUCCAGAAUUCGCUGAUCCAGACUUUUACAAUACUAUGGUUGAACAAAAUGAACUAGACAUGUGGUGGUUCAGCGCUAUAGAAGAAAACAGACAAAGAGACGAAGACACAUUGGAAACAGAAGACAAUGACGAAAGAAAUACAACCCAUAAUCAUACCCAAAGAAUGUUUUUUACUUUGGAAACUAUCCUGGAAGAAAGUGAAGAUUUUAGUGAAGAUUUUGGAAUAACAGAACUCAGACAAAUUCUUUGUGAAUUAUGCCUUCAAGAUAAUAUUCUUACAGACAUAUGGAGACUAUUUGAAGAACCCUUAGACAAUAUUAUAUCUGAUAUUUGGAGAUUAUCCAUUUAAAAGAAUUCUCUCUACUAGACUGUAAAUAUGUAUAUUAACAUAAUGUAUAUUGAUCCAGACAUUUCAGGCUCAAACAAAGACAUGGAUCCUCGAUAUUGCCCAAUUAUCGACGACAUAUUACCCGCUUCUCUUAAAUCAUCUGAAGAACCUCUUGAUGAUAUAAUCCAAGACAUACAUAGGUUUUUUGAAGACCCAUUUGCAGUUAUUCCUUUCCACAUUAUCCUUUCUGGAUUUANAUUUUUUAUUUUAGAAAAAAAAAUAGAUUUUUUAAGAAAAUAAUAUCUUUUACUAUAUAGAAAAUCUCCGUGUCAAACUCAAAUAUAGAUUUUCUACUUUAGGAAAAAUAAAAUUAGAUUUUUUAAGGAAAUAAUACUUUAGGGAAAAUAAAAUUAGAUUUUUUAAGAAAAACCCUUUAUGAACUUUAUGUCAGAAGCUGAUACGUGGCUUUCUAUAUGCUUGCUACAUGUCAUCGUAUCUAUUCUAUUUACUAUAAUGAUAGGUGGAUUAAUGAGAUAUUUGAGAAAUUCACGGAUAUUACGUUGUGAAAGAAUUGACUGGUGCGGAUAUUACGCGUGAGAAGGAAAAUAUUUGAGAAACGCGUAGAUAGAAAAUAGGAUAUAAAUGCGAGGGUAAUAUUGUCAUAAAAAGUAACAGAUAAUUUUAUUUUCAAUCAUUAAAUAAGAUCUAAUGGCAAAAAAUUAAUAUCUUUUAUAAUGCUAUUAAAAAUCAC
rnacentral:lncRNA from 1 species